rnacentral:rRNA from 1 species
CAGCAGCCGCGGUAAUACGAAGGGUGCAAGCGUUAAUCGGAAUUACUGGGCGUAAAGCGCGCGCAGGCGGUUAUAUAAGACAGAUGUGAAAUCCCCGGGCUCAACCUGGGAACUGCAUUUGUGACUGUAUAGCUAGAGUACGGCAGAGGGGGAUGGAAUUCCGCGUGUAGCAGUGAAAUGCGUAGAUAUGCGGAGGAACACCGAUGGCGAAGGCAAUCCCCUGGGCCUGUACUGACGCUCAUGCACGAAAGCGUGGGGAGCAAACAGGAUUAGAUACCCGGGUAGUCCCUGUCUCUUAUAC